rnacentral:rRNA from 1 species
CACAGAGUGAGCGAGCGUUAUCCAUUCUAACUGGGUGUAAAGGGUGUGCAGGCGGACAUUACUGAGACGGCUAGAGCGAAAUUGCUGUAUUGGGUAGGAAGCUCUAGCAGCAGGUGUCUUGAGAUUAGGAGGAGCUAUUAGAAUACGUAGUGGAUUUGAUUUAGGAAAUUAUCGAUCUUACGGGGACUACCAGUCGCGAAAAGCAUAUAGCUAGACUAAAAUCUGACGCUGAGGCACGAAAAUCGUGGGGGAGCAAAAAGGG